ensembl:snRNA U6 U6 spliceosomal RNA
GUGCUCACUUUGACAGCACACAUACUAAAAUUGGAACAAUAUACAAAAGAUUAGCAUGACCCUUGCGCAAGGAUGACAUGCAAAUUCAUGAAGCAUUCCAUAUUUUU